AUUGAACGCUGGCGGCAGGCCUAACACAUGCAAGUCGAGCGAGAAAGGUCUUCGGACUGAGUACAGCGGCGGACGGGUGAGUAAUGCGCAGGAAUCUACCUGGUAGUGGGGGAUAACUCGGGGAAACUCGAACUAAUACCGCAUACGCCCUACGGGGAAAGCGGGGACCGUUCGGGCCUCGCGCUAUCAGAUGAGCCUGCGUAGGAUUAGCUUGUUGGUGAGGUAAAGGCUCACCAAGGCGACGAUCCUUAGCUGGUCUGAGAGGAUGAUCAGCCACACUGGAACUGAGACACGGUCCAGACUCCUACGGGAGGCAGCAGUGGGGAAUAUUGCGCAAUGGGCGAAAGCCUGACGCAGCCAUGCCGCGUGUGUGAAGAAGGCCCUUGGGUUGUAAAGCUCUUUCAGAUGGGAAGAUAAUGACGGUACCAUCAGAAGAAGCCCCGGCUAACUCCGUGCCAGCAGCCGCGGUAAAGUC
rnacentral:rRNA from 1 species